rnacentral:rRNA from 1 species
CACCAAGGCGACGAUCCGUAACUGGUCUGAGAGGAUGAUCAGUCACACUGGAACUGAGACACGGUCCAGACCCYACGGGAGGCAGCAGUGGGGAAUAUUGGACAAUGGGCGAAAGCCUGAUCCAGCCAUGCCGCGUGUGUGAAGAAGGUCUWCGGAUUGUAAAGCACUUAAAGUUGGGAGGAAGGGCAUUAACCUAAUACGUUAGUGUUUUGACGUUACCGACAGAAUAAGCACCGGCUAACUCUGUGCCAGCAGCCGCGGUAAUACAGAGGGUGCAAGCGUUAAUCGGAAUUACUGGGCGUAAAGCGCVCGUAGGUGGUUCGUUAAGUUGGAUGUGAAAUCCCCGGGCUCAACCUGGGAACUGCAUUCAAAACUGUCGAGCUAGAGUAUGGUAGAGGGUGGUGGAAUUHCCUGUGUAGCGGUGAAAUGCGUAGAUAUAGGAAGGAACACCAGUGGCGAAGGCGACCACCUGGACUGAUACUGACACUGAGGUGCGAAAGCGUGGGAGCAAACAGGAUUAGAUCCCUGGAGCCACGCCGUAAACGA